rnacentral:lncRNA from 1 species
UCGUUUUAAAUGAAGAUUUUAGACUUUUAAACUCAUUUUGAAUAUGAAUUAUGUGUUUUGUACUUGUAUAUUACGUUUUAGCCAGUUUCGAAAUUUUUGAGAAAAAAAUGACCAAAAUACCCCUGUGUGGCGAAAAUUUUAUUUUGAUUGUUUUUGAUCUAAAAUAGUGUAUAUUCUCUAAAAACUAGAUAUUUAACAACGAUUGCUCACAGGAAAGGAAAGAAACUGAUAUGUAAGCCUUGCGGGGUUCCGGUUGGCAUUCCGGAUAAUGAGUGUCAAUCAGGGACGUUGCGGCGAUUGUCAUGGGCCUGAGGGAGGUUCCGGGUCGUGACACCCCCUCUCUUAGGCUGGUCCACAAAACCUCCACUAUAGGGAUUAUGGAUUAUUUUAUCUACCACCUGAUUUAUAGAAUCUUUAUCUAAAUGACACGGUAAUUUAUCGCAACCUAGCCUCUCAAGGCUGAAUACACAGUACAAAUAAUUCUAACACUGAAAAUCAGUUUAGCCAUUCGUGCUCAUAUAUUGUCAUAAGCCAUUCAAUUUAAAACCAUAAAAUUACAACACAUCAAGUGGUCUCCAAUUACUCUAUUUUCAAAACCAUAAUUCAAUUUCAAGACAAUUUAUAAAACCAUUUUAUUUAAUCUCAUUUUGCUUAUAAAACAUAAAGAUUUACCAUUUAAACUCAUUUUCCAUAAAAUCACAAAAUCGGAUAAAACCACUUUAGAUAAUUAAGACGAUAGUAAGGUUACUCACAGUAUCAGGAGUAGAAAUACUCGUAGUCCCGAUCUUU